rnacentral:rRNA from 1 species
UCCUACGGGGCGCAGCAGUAGGGAAUUUUCGUCAAUGGGCGCAAGCCUGAACGAGCAAUGCCGCGUGAACGAGGAAGGUCUUCGGAUCGUAAAGUUCUGUUGAAGGGGAAAAAGAGCGGAGAGAGGAAAUGGUCUCCGCUUGAUAUUACCCUUCGAGGAAGUCACGGCUAACUACGUGCCAGCAGCCGCGGUAAUACGUAGGUGGCGAGCGUUAUCCGGAAUGAUUGGGCGUAAAGGGUGCGUAGGCGGCCUGCUAAGUCUGGAGUGAAAGGUACAGGCUCAACCGGUACAGGCUCUGGAAACUG